GAUGAACGCUGGCGGCGUGCCUAAUACAUGCAAGUCGAGCGAACAGAUAAGGAGCUUGCUCCUUUGACGUUAGCGGCGGACGGGUGAGUAACACGUGGGUAACCUACCUAUAAGACUGGGAUAACUUCGGGAAACCGGAGCUAAUGCCGGAUAACAUUUGGAACCGCAUGGUUCUAAAGUGAAAGAUGGUUUUGCUAUCACUUAUAGAUGGACCCGCGCCGUAUUAGCUAGUUGGUAAGGUAACGGCUUACCAAGGCAACGAUACGUAGCCGACCUGAGAGGGUGAUCGGCCACACUGGAACUGAGACACGGUCCAGACUCCUACGGGAGGCAGCAGUAGGGAAUCUUCCGCAAUGGGCGAAAGCCUGACGGAGCAACGCCGCGUGAGUGAUGAAGGGUUUCGGCUCGUAAAACUCUGUUAUUAGGGAAGAACAAACGUGUAAGUAACUGUGCACGUCUUGACGGUACCUAAUCAGAAAGCCACGGCUAACUACGUG
rnacentral:rRNA from 1 species